AACGAACGCUGGCGGCAGGCCUAACACAUGCAAGUCGAGCGCGCCCUUCGGGGUGAGCGGCGGACGGGUGAGUAACGCGUGGGAACGUGCCCUUCUCUGCGGAAUAGCCUCGGGAAACUGAGAGUAAUACCGCAUACGCCCUUUGGGGGAAAGAUUUAUCGGAGAAGGAUCGGCCCGCGUUGGAUUAGGUAGUUGGUGGGGUAAUGGCCCACCAAGCCGACGAUCCAUAGCUGGUUUGAGAGGAUGAUCAGCCACACUGGGACUGAGACACGGCCCAGACUCCUACGGGAGGCAGCAGUGGGGAAUCUUAGACAAUGGGGGCAACCCUGAUCUAGCCAUGCCGCGUGAGUGAUGAAGGCCUUAGGGUUGUAAAGCUCUUUCAGCUGGGAAGAUAAUGACGGUACCAGCAGAAGAGGCCCCGGCUAACUCCGUG
rnacentral:rRNA from 1 species